GACAGAGGGGGCAAGCGUUGCUCGGAAUUACUGGGCGUAAAGGGCGCGUAGGCGGAAUGGCAAGUCGGUCGUGAAAUCCUUCGGCUCAACCGAAGAACGUCGAUCGAAACUGCCGUUCUUGAGGAUUGCAGAGGAGACUGGAAUUCCUGGUGUAGCGGUGAAAUGCGCAGAUAUCAGGAGGGAACACCGGUGGCGAAGGCGGGUCUCUGGGCAGUAACUGACGCUGAGGAGCGAAAGCCGUGGGUAGCGAACAGG
rnacentral:rRNA from 1 species